UCAUGGCAAGCGUUGUCCGGCCUGAGCUUGAUCCUGGCUCAGGACGAACGCUGGCGGCGUGCCUAAUACAUGCAAGUCGAACGCUUUUUCUUUCACCGGAGCUUGCUCCACCGAAAGAAAAAGAGUGGCGAACGGGUGAGUAACACGUGGGUAACCUGCCCAUCAGAAGGGGAUAACACUUGGAAACAGGUGCUAAUACCGUAUAACACUAUUUUCCGCAUGGAAGAAAGUUGAAAGGCGCUUUUGCGUCACUGAUGGAUGGACCCGCGGUGCAUUAGCUAGUUGGUGAGGUAACGGCUCACCAAGGCAACGAUGCAUAGCCGACCUGAGAGGGUGAUCGGCCACACUGGGACUGAGACACGGCCCAGACUCCUACGGGAGGCAGCAGUAGGGAAUCUUCGGCAAUGGACGAAAGUCUGACCGAGCAACGCCGCGUGAGUGAAGAAGGUUUUCGGAUCGUAAAACUCUGUUGUUAGAGAAGAACAAGGAUGAGAGUAAAAUGUUCAUCCCUUGACGGUAUCUAACCAGAAAGCCGACGUGA
rnacentral:rRNA from 1 species